rnacentral:rRNA from 1 species
CUUGGUCAUUUAGAGGAAGUAAAAGUCGUAACAAGGUUUCCGUAGGUGAACCUGCCGGAGGAUCAUUAACGAGUAAACAGGGGAGUUGUAGCUGGCCGCAAGGCAUGUGCACGCUCCCUACUCAAUCCCACCUUACACCUGUGCAUCUAUUGUAGGUCGGGUGGCUUGGCUCCAUGUCAGGCUGUCCUUCCUAUGUCUACACAUACACUUUAUAGUUUCAGAAUGUAAACUGCGUAUAACGCAUCUAUAAACAACUUUCAACAACGGAUCUCUUGGCUCUCGCAUCGAUGAAGAACGCAGCGAAAUGCGAUAAGUAAUGUGAAUUGCAGAAUUCAGUGAAUCAUCGAAUCUUUGAACGCACCUUGCACUCCUUGGUAUUCCGAGGAGUAUGCCUGUUUGAGUGUCAUGAAUAUCUCAACUCACCCGGUUUUUGUAAAUUGUGGUGGGCUUGGACUUGGAGGUAUGCUGGCUUUACUAGUCGGCUCCUCUUUAAAUGUAUUAGCUGGACCCGUUACGGAUCAGUACUCGGUGUGAUAAUUGUCUACGCCGUGUCUGUGAAGUGCCUUAGUGGAUCAGCUGCUAAUCGUCUUCGGACAAUUUGACAUUUUGACCUCAAAUCAGGUAGGAUUACCCGCUGAACUUAAGCAUAUCAAUAAGCGGAGGAAAAGAAACUAACAAGGAUUCCCCUAGGUAACUGCGAGUGAAGCGGGAAGAGCUCAAAUUUAAAAUCUGGCGGUCUUUGGCCGUCCGAGUUGUAUUCUGGAGAAGUGCUUUCCGCGCUGGACCGUGUACAAGUCUCCUAAA